ensembl:misc_RNA Metazoa_SRP Metazoan signal recognition particle RNA
GCUGGGUGUGGUGGCUCACGCCUGUAAUCCCAGAACUUUGGGAGGCUGAGGCAGGUGGAUCACCUGAGGUCAGGAGUUCAAGACCAGCCUGGCCAACAUGGCGAAACCCUGUCUCUA